CCAAUAGCGUAUAUUAAAGUUGUUGCAGUUAAAAAGCUCGUAGUUGAAUUUCGGGGUCAGCAGGUUGGUCGUGCCAAUGGUAUGCACUGGCCUUGCUGAUUCCUCCCUCUUGAUGAGCCGUAAUGCCAUUAAUUUGGUGUUGCGGGGAAUCAGGACUGUUACUUUGAAAAACUUAGAGUGUUUAAAGCAGGCAAGCGCUUGAAUACAUUAGCAUGGAAUAAUGAAAUAGGACGUUUAAUCCUAUUUUGUUGGUUUCUAGGAUUGACGUAAUGAUUAAUAGGGAUAGUUGGGGGCAUUAGUAUUCAAUUGUCAGAGGUGAAAUUCUUGGAUUUAUUGAAGACUAACUACUGCGAAAGCAUUUGCCAAGGAUGUUUUCAUUAAUCAAGAACGAAAGUUAGGGGAUCGAAGACGAUCAGAUACCGUCGUAGUCUUAACCAUAAACUAUGCCGAUUAGGGAUCGGAUGAUGUUAAUUUUUUAAUGACUCAUUCGGCGCCUUACG
rnacentral:rRNA from 1 species